UACAGAGGGUGCGAGCGUUAAUCGGAAUUACUGGGCGUAAAGCGUGCGUAGACGGUCAAGUAAGUCGGGUGUGAAAGCCCCGGGCUCAACCUGGGAAUUGCAUUCGAGACUGCGUGGCUAGGGUGCGGAAGAGGGAAGCGGAAUUUCCGGUGUAGCGGUGAAAUGCGUAGAUAUCGGAAGGAGCACCAGUGGCGAAAGCGGCUUGCUGGUCCAGCACCGACGUUCAGGCACGAAAGCGUGGGGAGCAAACAGG
rnacentral:rRNA from 1 species